AAGCUAGAUGUUGAGUGUCCACACAUUUUUGCUGGCACACACUUUGCACAGUGGAGAAACUGGAUGAUAUGCAAUUUUAAGUUUAUUUCUCCUCAAAUGUGGUGGAUGGUAGAUGUAGGCCUUUCUCAUGUGUUGGAUGAAUAGAAUCUAACUCAAGCACUGGAGAAAUAUCUACAUCUCAACUAUGUAACACCCAAAAAUAUGGUUCCUUGUAAAUAAAGCUAAAAUAGUUUAAUUUUAUAUUUUUUGUGCUCAUGAAAUAUAGGGAAAAUAAUAUUUUCAUUAAAUUAAAAGUUAUUAUAUGUUUUAGCAACAUGUUUAUGCAUUCACGUUGAAGCAUAUUUAAUUUUGUACUGUGUGUUUUGUUUAAUCUCUGAGAAUAAUUUAAAAUCCCUUUUGGAAAAGGUUUUUAGAAAAGGAAAACAGAAAAGAAAAAAAAAGAGAAGACAAAAAAACCCGGCCAGCCAUCCCCUCGGCCUGGUGGCCUGGUGGCCGAGGCCCAACUCCCUCUCCCAACCCGCAGCCCAACUUCCUCCCCUUCGACCCACUCCUUUCCCCUUCCUCGCGGCCCAGUCUCGCCCCGCGCUGAUUCCCCCUUCCUCUGAUUGAUAGCCGGGCCCCGUCCCACUCUCUCUCUGACGCUCGGGCCCCGCCUGGCAGCGGGUGCCUCCUUCCACCUGCCGUGUUCGAGCCGGACGCUCGUGGGCGGCAACCGAAGCCUCCCCAAUCCCGCAAACAUCGGGAUUUGCUUACCUUCCGUGUCAACCACGCCCAAUAAAAGCCGAGGCUCAACCCCGCGACACCCUUUCACACCUAAUUCGUGUAAUCUGUGCCCUAGCCGCCGUCUUCCUCGGGUUUCUGGAUCUCGCCGAGGUUGAGUCAAGCCCCCACCGCCGCGCGCUCCUCCUACUCCCUUUCGGACCGAACCAAGCACAUAGACGAGAUCGCGGUGAGCUUCUCCCCCGCCCGGUGUUUUUCUUUUGUUCUCUAGCGUACGGAAACGCGAGAUCCGAUGUCUCCGGCGAGCUCAGAGCUCCCGGCCAUGGCGCCCGCCGCCGGAGGUCGCCGCCGGCCACCGCCCAGCUCCCCUGGAUCGCCCAUAGCCGUUCAUCUCAAGAUCUACGGUUAAAAAUAAAACAUACCCC
rnacentral:lncRNA from 1 species